GCGGGGAUCCACCAAGCACGUGCCUACACAUGCAAAUCGAAUGAAAAUAAUUAAUUAUUGUUUUCAUGGUGAACGGGUGAGUAACACAUAAGAAUCAGCUUUUAGAUAAGGCAUAAAAGAGUAAUAUCUUGGUAAUUCCUUAUAUGCGCAGCAGUGCUUAAAAAGGGGAGUCCCGUCUAAAAACGAGCUUAUGCCUGAUUAGCUAGUUGGCGAGUUAAAAGCUCACCAAGGCGAAGAUCAGUAGCUGGCCUGAGAGGGCGGCCAGCCACAUUGGGACUGAGACACGGCCCAAACUCCUACGGGAGGCAGCAGUGGGGAAUCUUCUGCAAUGGGCGCAAGCCUGACAGAGCGGCGUCGUGUGAAGGAAGAAGGCCUGAAAUAGGUUGUAAACUUCUUUUACUGAGUAAUGAAUAAUGACAACGCAGUAAAAAAGUAUCGGCUAACUCCGUGCCAGCAGCCGCGGUAAUACGGGGGAUGCAAGCGUUAUCCGGAAUCACUGGGCGUAAAGCGUCUGUAGGUGGUUUAGUGUGUUCUUAGUUAAAUUAUGAAGCUUAACUUCAUGAAAAGUAAGAAAACUAUUAGACUUGAGUACGAUAGGGGUAAGAGGAAUUCUUCGAGAAGUAGUGAAAUGCGAAGAUACGAAGGAGAAGAUCAUAAGCGAAGGCUUCUUACUGGGUCGUAACUGACACUGAGAGACGAAAGCUAGGGGAGCGAAUGGGAUUAGAUACCCCAGUAGUCCUAGCUGUAAACGAUGGAUAUUCGGUGCCGGAAAUUUUAUUAGAACAUUUCGGUACCCUAGCUAACGCGUUAAAUAUCCCGCCUGAGGAGUACGCUCGCAAGGGUGAAACUCAAUGAAUUGACGGGAAGGGC
rnacentral:rRNA from 1 species